rnacentral:rRNA from 1 species
UGGCGGCAUGCCUAACACAUGCAAGUCGAACGAACCCUUCGGGGUUAGUGGCGCACAGGUGCGUAACGCGUGGGAAUCUGCCCUUGGGUUCGGAAUAACAGUUAGAAAUGACUGCUAAUACCGGAUGAAGUCUUCGGACCAAAGAUUUAUCGCCCAGGGAUGAGCCCGCGUAGGAUUAGGUAGUUGGUGGGGUAAAGGCCUACCAAGCCGACGAUCCUUAGCUGGUCUGAGAGGAUGAUCAGCCACACUGGGACUGAGACACGGCCCAGACUCCUACGGGAGGCAGCAGUGGGGAAUAUUGGACAAUGGGGGAAACCCUGAUCCAGCAAUGCCGCGUGAGUGAUGAAGGCCUUCGGGUCGUAAAGCUCUUUUACCAGGGAUGAUAAUGACAGUACCUGGAGAAUAAGCUCCGGCUAACUCCGUGCCAGCAGCCGCGGUAAU